UACGUAGGGUGCGAGCGUUGUCCGGAAUUAUUGGGCGUAAAGAGCUUGUAGGCGGUUUGUCGCGUCUGCUGUGAAAAUCCGGGGCUCAACCCCGGACUUGCAGUGGGUACGGGCAGACUAGAGUGUGGUAGGGGAGACUGGAAUUCCUGGUGUAGCGGUGGAAUGCGCAGAUAUGUGGAGGAACACCAAUGGCGAAGGCAGAUCUCUGGGCCACUACUGACGCUGAGGAGCGAAAGCGUGGGGAGCGAACAGG
rnacentral:rRNA from 1 species